AGAAGAGAAAAAUAACUUUUAUUUAUUUUAAAUAUAUACACAUAAUUUUCUCUUAAAAUUAAACUAAUUAAAAACUCCUUUUCUAAUUAAGAAUACACAAAAAGGUAUAAUAUAAAUAAAUCUUACAAAAAUAUAAAAAAAUAAAAAUAAAUAUUACUUUGGAAGAGGCGCAGCCCUUGAAAUUACAGAGCGCCUCACCCAGGCGAGACGAGGCAGCCUUACCUCGCCAGACGCCUUUAAUAAAACUGCGGCGAUACCCUCUCAAGAUGGCAACUCAUGAGAUUUGCAUGUGAUUGAGAAUGAUAACAGCCACGUAUGGUGCCAAGAAAUGCUACUCCUUUUUUUCCCCCCCAAACUGUGGGUUAUUAUCCCCUCCAAACACUCCUGAGGAUUUAUUGUUUCUACUUCGGGGGCCUAGUGAUGCAAAAGAAGGGAUAACCUGUUCGCAUAUGAUCAUGUCAAACUUCAGAGAAACAACUGUAAUUUCUAAUUGGCUUACCGUCCUGAAAGUAUCAUUCCCUUGUACGAUAAUAUCCAAACUUUCUUUUAAUCGAGUAAUUAAAUCACCAAACUUAAAUAAUUCAAGCACCGAGCACCAUCUAGGCAUAGCAAACAGUAUCAUCAUAAUUGCCAUUACUGUUAUAACUACCGGCUGAAGAACACCAGCACUACCGCUGUACAACUAGCCGUAAGACAUCACCAAAUUCUCACCAGGCUCAUGCAAUAGGUUAUUAUCAGAUUCGUCCCAAAUAAAAGAUUUUUCAAUGACCACAGCCAAAAGACGAGUAUGUUAUUCCUGAUGCUUGAAAGUAUGUUACUAGUUUCCAGGAAACUCGCAUAAUUUACACAAAUUGUUGUCUAUAAAUGAAAACAGAAACACAUUUUACCACA
rnacentral:misc_RNA from 1 species